GAUUUCUUUGUGAAUCACCA
rnacentral:miRNA from 1 species